AAUACAGAUGUUCUGAUCUAGAAAGGCACUGUAAGUGGACUCACGCAGAGAUUCUCAGAAUGCUGCGAUUGUUUCUCAUUCUAGCCUUGUGCUUCACUGCUGUGUUGUCCCAAUUCGGAGGGAGAGUGUUGUUUCCCAGGGGCAAUAAUGACUGGUGGAAUAAUAAUAACGGACCGUGGGGCAAUAAUGACUGGUGGAACAAUAAUAACGGAUGGUGGGGCAAUAAUAACGGACUGUGGGGCAAUAAUGACUGGUGGAAUAAUAAUAACGGAUGGUGGGGCAAUAAUAACGGAUGGAACAAUAACGGAUGGUGGGAUUAACUGACAGGACAAUACAACAGAAGCUUAAGUGAAAAAGAUGCAUUGAGGAAGAGGCUAAUGAAUGGAACUAUUUAUUGUGUUUUUUUAAUAUAAAUGUGGACAGUGGUGUAACAAAAGAUGGAAAAUGUUCAAUAUGUAUUUUUAAUGAAUAAAUAUCAAAAAUAUA